GUGUGGGGCGCGGAGGGGUGGACUGCUGUACAUUUAUUUAUUUUUUCUUGUACGGUCCGAAUACUAGCUUGAUUGACGCUUUAUAUUGGUGCUGAAUGUUCCAUUGACUGGAAGAAAAUCAUGUACCCAGUAGGACAGCCGGGACCGCCGGGCGCCGCGCCGCCGCCCGCCCUGCCGGUGGCCGUGGCGCCGCCGGCCGGCAUCACGCCCGUCUCGCUGCUGCAGCCCGCCUCCGGCGCCGUGGUGGCUGCCGCCGCCGCCGCCGCGCCCGCGCUCGCCUCCGAUAUGCCCAGUGAGUGGCCGCGCCUAUUCGCGGCGCCUCGCCGGCCAAACCUGGGCCGCGAGGGCCGCGGCAUCCAGCUGCGCGCCAACCACUUCCAGAUCACGAUGCCGCGCGGCUACGUGCAGCACUACGACGUCAGCAUCCAACCGGAUAAGUGUCCCCGGAAGGUGAACAGGGAGAUCAUCGAGACCAUGGUGAAGGCCUACGCCAAGAUCUUCAGCACGAUGAAGCCUGUGUUCGACGGCCGGAGUAACAUGUACACGCGAGACCCGCUGCCCUUCGGUAAGGAGAAGAUGGAUCUGGAGGUGACGCUGCCGGGCGAGGGCAAGGACCGCGUGUUCCACGUGUCGAUCCGGUGGACGGCGCAGGUGUCGCUCUACCAGUUGGAGGAGGCGCUGGAGGGACGGCAGCGCGCCAUCCCGUUUGACGCCGUGCAGGCGCUGGACGUGGUAAUGCGUCACCUGCCGUCCAUGAAGUACACGCCCGUGGGCCGGUCGUUCUUCUCGGCGCCCGAGGGCUACUACCACCCGCUGGGCGGCGGCCGCGAGGUGUGGUUCGGCUUCCAUCAGUCGGUCCGGCCCAGCCAGUGGAAAAUGAUGCUCAACAUCGAUGUGUCCGCCACUGCCUUCUACAAGUCUCAGGCGGUCAUUGAGUUCAUGUGCGAGGUUCUCGACAUCCGUGAAGUCAGCGAACAGCGGAAGCCGCUCACCGACUCCCAGCGGGUCAAGUUCACCAAGGAGAUCAAGGGCCUCAAGAUCGAGAUCACGCACUGCGGCUCGAUGCGGCGCAAGUACCGCGUGUGCAACGUCACCCGGCGGCCGGCGCAGAUGCAGUCGUUCCCACUGCAGCUGGAUAACGGUCAGACGGUGGAGUGUACGGUGGCCAAGUACUUCCUGGACAAGUACCGGAUGAAGCUGCGCUUCCCGCACCUGCCCUGUCUGCAGGUCGGCCAGGAGCACAAACACACCUACCUGCCGCUGGAGGUGUGCACCAUCGUGGCCGGCCAGCGCUGCAUCAAGAAGCUGACCGACAUGCAGACCUCGACCAUGAUCAAGGCGACGGCGCGCUCGGCGCCCGACCGCGAGCGCGAGAUCAACACGCUCAUCAGGAAGGUGUGGGCCGACUUCAACACGGACCCGUACGUCCAGGAGUUUGGGCUCAACAUCGAGCAGAAGAUGAUGGACGUGCGCGGCCGGGUGCUGCCGCCGCCGAGACUUCAGUACGGCGGACGGACCAAGCAGCAGGCGGUGCCGAACGCCGGCGUCUGGGACAUGCGCGGCAAACAGUUCUACAGCGGCGUCGAGAUCCGCGUGUGGGCCAUCGCCUGUUUCGCGCCGCAGCGCACGGUGCGUGAGGACGCGCUGCGGAACUUCACCCAGCAGCUGCAGAAGAUCUCCACUGACGCCGGCAUGCCCAUCAUCGGACAGCCGUGUUUCUGCAAGUACGCCACUGGCCCCGACCAGGUUCAGCCCAUGUUCAGCUACCUCAAGACCAACUUCCAGGGCCUGCAGCUGGUGGUGGUGGUGCUGCCCGGCAAGACGCCCGUCUACGCUGAGGUGAAGCGGGUGGGAGACACGGUGCUCGGCAUCGCCACGCAGUGUGUGCAGGCCAAGAACGUCAACAAGACGUCGCCGCAGACACUCUCCAACCUCUGCCUCAAGAUCAACGUCAAGCUGGGCGGCGUCAACAGCAUCCUGGUGCCCAGCAUCCGGCCUAAGGUGUUUAACGAGCCGGUGAUCUUCCUGGGCGCUGACGUGACGCACCCGCCGGCCGGCGACAACAAGAAGCCGUCGAUCGCGGCUGUGGUGGGCUCCAUGGACGGCCACCCGUCGCGGUACGCGGCCACCGUCCGCGUCCAGCAGCACCGACAGGAGAUUAUCCAGGAGCUGAGCUACAUGGUGCGCGAGCUGCUCAUCCAGUUCUACAAGUCGACCCACUUCAAGCCGAUGCGGAUCAUCAUGUACAGGGACGGCGUGUCCGAGGGCCAGUUCCAGCCGGUGCUGCAGCACGAGCUGGCGGCCAUCCGCGAGGCCUGCGUCAAACUCGAGGUGGACUACAUGCCGGGCAUCACGUUCAUCGUGGUGCAGAAGCGCCACCACACUCGCCUCUUCUGCUCCGACAAGAAGGAGCAGAGCGGCAAGAGCGGCAACAUCCCGGCCGGCACCACGGUCGACUCGCAGAUCACCCACCCGACAGAGUUCGACUUCUAUCUCUGCUCCCACCAGGGCAUCCAGGGCACGUCUCGUCCGAGCCACUACCACGUGCUGUGGGACGACAACCGGUUCGACAGCGACGAGCUGCAGCAGCUCACCUACCAGCUGUGCCACACGUAUGUGCGCUGCACGCGCUCGGUCAGCAUCCCGGCGCCGGCCUACUACGCCCACCUGGUGGCCUUCCGGGCGCGCUACCACCUGGUCGAGAAGGAGCACGACAGCGACCCGACGUACCACUCGUCGUGCUCUGGCGAGGGCUCUCACCUGUCCGGCAACUCCGACGACCGCACGCCGUCUGCGAUGGCGCGCGCCGUCACCGUCCACCAGGACACCAACCAGGUCAUGUACUUCGCCUGAGCGCGCCGCCACAGCCGCCAGAGCCGCCGCUGCACAAUAGGAGACAAUUUGUACAUAGAGAGGGAGGGGGCUGCGGCCCGCCGCGUCACACAGGGUGCUGCUGCCCGGCUCCGGCCGGCACCGCUAAUCACCGACUGACCGCUAAUCAAGCCACUGCCGCCGCCGGCCAUACCCGCUUGCCUAGCUAGCCGCCUCUCUGCCCGGCCGCUCGCUCGUGUCUCUGGUGCCCAGGUGCCACUGUUAGCCCGCUGCGCGCUUCUAGUCAUCUGUGUGCUAGCCGCGGGCGCUCCUAGCGGCCGGCGCGCGCGCCCCGCCGCCGUCCGAUGGCGACCCCGCCCUGCGAGUGUGAGCGGGCGCCGCACGUAUCUUCCAUUGGCGGCCAGGUGCCGCCGUGCCGUCACAAGAUAUACGAGUAGCCGACGUCCUGGCGUGUGCCUCUCUCCGUCUGUCCGUGACUGGGUGGGCGCCUUUUGUAACGAAGCUGGAGCCGAGGUGCCAUGGUGUGUGCUCACAAUCACGUGCGCGGCUGAGGUGUCCGCGGCGGGCAGCGGCCGCCGGGCCGGGCCGGGCCGCCGACCAUCUACCGAACCGCACUGCCGAGUGGGCUGUCUACAGUGAGUGUAUAUCGAGGAGUGUCGACUGCCCCGCGCGCGCCGCCGGCCUCCGCUGGCCGCGCGCCGGUCUAAGUGCCCGCGCUGUGCCACCCUUCCUGCCUGCCGGCCCCGGCUGCCGCGGCUCGUCCACCAACCAUCACAAUUAUCUGACGUAUCUCUUUUGGUUGUCUAGGCGCUGAGCAUAGGCAGUGUGUUCCAGACGAGUUUCUGUGCUUUUUGUAGUGUUUGUAUGCAGCAUAGAGUGCGAACUGAUUUGCCGAGGUUACGUGUAGCGUACCUUCCGUUUGGUUUGUAUAUUGUAGGCAGUCUGCUGCCCACGGUAGCAGCGCCGCCCGCCGUUGGGCCGCUCACCGAACCGCUUUAAUAAGCUCGCUGGCCGGGCGGCCUGUGGCGGCCCACUGCCAUGCAAUCGUCCCCCUGUGUCUUACCCGAGAGCCGGCUGGCGGGCUGGGGUGUCUGCGCCGCGCGCUCACCAGUCCAGUCUGUUACUGCACGGCAGCGGUGCCGUCCGCUGGGACACGUGCGAGUCGGCCGGCCGCCCGGCGUCCUCCAUUCCUGCCCUGACGGUCCCGAGAACCAUGGCAAACCAAAGACGGCAUAUUCAGAGAGCGUUUUGAUACGGUAGUUUUGGGCUGUACCGCCACAGUAUCGCCGUUCGAUCCGUCUGCACAACGGAACAUUCUUUACGAGAUCUAGGGCGUGUUUUACUACGAAGCGCUCGCGCGCGUGUGUGUGCUAUCUGUUCGUGUGUGGUAUUGUGUAGCCGCUCUGAUGCGCCGCUGUCGGGGCCUGCGGGGCGGCCGGUGACAGACCCCCCGCGGCCGCGGCCGGCCGCCGCCCAGUCGGGCAGCUCGGGUCAAAUGUCGAGUUUACGGGCGUGUGGCGCGCGCCGCCGCCGCUGCCAGCCGGGUAGGUGUUCUGUUGUGUUUGCGGCCGGUCCGGUGCCGCCCGGCCGCGUUCCGUCGUAGCGCUGCGAGCCGGGUCCGUCUGCAGUCUGUCGGCGACCGGCCGGCAGUUGUUAACUCUGGUAGCUCAGCCCGCCCGCCAUCCAGCCGCCGCGCCGGGCGCGUCUGUCUCUCCGUGUGCCUGUGAGUGUGUCGGUCGGUCGGCCGCCGUCUGCCUGUAAUCUGUGUGUCUGUGUGCGGCCGUCCGUGCCCGGUCGGCGCGGCCCGCGGCCUCCAGCCGCCCCCACAUAUCGCCGAACGGCCGCCGAGCCGCCGCACCGGCCCGUCUCCGGUGUCGGCCGACACGCGCGCGCGCUCACAUAUCCCAGCGGGGAGCCGCCGCCGGCCGGGCAGCGCGUGCGCGUCCUGCCGGGUGCGCGCCGCACCUAGAACAAUAACGGCAUUGUAGGAGCUCAAUAAACCGACUGCAGUCACUC
rnacentral:misc_RNA from 1 species